GUAACACGUGGGCAAUCUGCCCUUCACUCUGGGACAAGCCCUGGAAACGGGGUCUAAUACCGGAUAACACUCCUGCUCUCAUGGGCAGGGGUUAAAAGCUCCGGCGGUGAAGGAUGAGCCCGCGGCCUAUCAGCUUGUUGGUGAGGUAAUGGCUCACCAAGGCGACGACGGGUAGCCGGCCUGAGAGGGCGACCGGCCACACUGGGACUGAGACACGGCCCAGACUCCUACGGGAGGCAGCAGUGGGGAAUAUUGCACAAUGGGCGAAAGCCUGAUGCAGCGACGCCGCGUGAGGGAUGACGGCCUUCGGGUUGUAAACCUCUUUCAGCAGGGAAGAAGCGAAAGUGACGGUACCUGCAGAAGAAGCGCCGGCUAACUACGUGCCAGCAGCCGCGGUAAUACGUAGGGCGCAAGCGUUGUCCGGAAUUAUUGGGCGUAAAGAGCUCGUAGGCGGCUUGUCACGUCGGGUGUGAAAGCCCGGGGCUUAACCCCGGGUCUGCAUUCGAUACGGGCUAGCUAGAGUGUGGUAGGGGAGAUCGGAAUUCCUGGUGUAGCGGUGAAAUGCGCAGAUAUCAGGAGGAACACCGGUGGCGAAGGCGGAUCUCUGGGCCAUUACUGACGCUGAGGAGCGAAAGCGUGGGGAGCGAACAGGAUUAGAUACCCUGGUAGUCCACGCCGUAAACGGUGGGAACUAGGUGUUGGCGACAUUCCACGUCGUCGGUGCCGCAGCUAACGCAUUAAGUUCCCCGCC
rnacentral:rRNA from 1 species